GACAUUUGUCCUCCUCUUGUCAGGCUGACAAUGACUGAGGCAUUUUUAUUUGUCUCAUUCUCCCUCAAAUCUCCAUUUUCUGGUCAUUUGAAAUUGUCCUUGAGCUUUAAUGGAGUGGAUCUAAACCUUCCCCAUCUCACCCCACCCCUCCUUCCCUCCCUCCCUUCAUCCUUUCCUUUCUUCCUUUCGUUGGAGAGAAGGCUUAAAACCUGAGAAAGUAUUUUAACCAAGGAGCCUAGUAACAGGGAAACAGGCCUCAGAUGAGAGGAGGAGGCCUGAUGCCCCCUGGAUGCGUGUUUUGGGUUCAGCUCUUCACUUUGAGGCCUCAGUGCCUCUUUUACAAGGAAGAAGUUGGUCAUGGUGAUCCCAAACUGGCCUUUUUUUGUCCUGAAUCCCCCUCAAUUUCAAUACAUUUGUUGGAAAAAAGCUGGGAAAAGUUGUACUGCUUUGCUUUUAGAUCUAAUGAACAAAAAAUUCAGACUUUUUUUAUUAAGCCUACUAGUUACACCACUGCUUAGACCUGGAGCUUGCAUUAGAAGAGCUGUCAGAAUGAGUGUGUUUCCUCAAGUUCCAGGAUGAGUAAGAGAGGGCAGAAGGCUUUGAAAUAAAGCGGAUAAAGCAUUUAUUUUGGUGGGGUUGAGUAAGAACUUAUUCAGGUCCUCAUUGUGCUGUUUUCUGUGUCUGUAAAAGUCAGUGUGCAGACUCUCUGUUUGAUAUUAAUGAAGCGUGUGUCUCUGGGGUUGCCCCACCCCCAACCCCUGGGACAUUGUGAUUAUUGUGGUGAUGCUUGUGAUUGACUACACUCUUUCCCCUUUUGGACAAAGCACUUCCUUUCACUGUGAGGCUAGAUUGAGAUGUGGACAUGACCCAGCAGACAGAGCAGCUGCUGGUUCAUACCUCUGGAGGGGCCAUAGACGGUUUUCUCUUGGAAGUACAGUGUUUUAAUUUAUUGACACACUUGUGCAGUUCACAUACAGGUCACCGACAGACUGGGGACCUCCACCAGGAUGACCCAGGAACCCAAAAUGAAGAACCCAAAAUUUAUAUCUGCAUUAUUUACUGAUCGUGUCCCUUUUCACUCUCAGAAUUAUUUUGUUUUCCUAAAACCCUUGGAGAAACUGGGCGCUUUGUUUCCAGAGAUAGGAUGGAAAGGAGAAAGAUCCUUUAGGUCCUGUGGCUCUGACAGGACACAAGGAUUUGCAUCAUCGGCCUAAAGCAGCCCUGUGUUUCCUGGGGACACUGGAUACCUCCCAGAAUGAUUGCUGGACAGCUGGAGGGAGAAUAAGGAAGCAUCCAAAUGAGACCUUUCAAAGCCUUUUUUUGAUGCUUUUAAAUGACCAUACUUGUCAAAGGCCACGUUGGGAAGUCAGGAAGUCAUUAAUCGGAAAAAGAGCCUAAACCGUGCAGGCUUAUCUCACCACAGAUCUUUCUCUUCGGUGGAGCUGGGGUGUAGCAGAUGAGAGAUUUUGCAAUCAUGGCUCUUCAUGUUUUGGCUCUGCCACUCAUUUACUAGCUAUCUGACCCUGCAAAAACACUUCCUUAAGCUUCAGUUUCCACAUACAAAGCAGGGCUAAUCAAAGUUCCACCUCACACAGUUGGGAAGUAUGAAAUGGUGGGUGCCUGCCGUAUAGACAGUGCUCAAAAUGUGUUAUCUCAACACACACAGUCACACACACACACUUGCCGGCACGCGUGCGUGUACAGGCGCAUGCAUGAUCCACUUUCCUAAAACUCACCCUAUCUCACUGUUUGGGUGUGCCUACAUUCCUGGGGUUUCCCAACACACCCCUGCAGAAACACCCUGAACUCACCUAACAGUUACCUCAUCUGACAAAGAUGGUGCCUUUUACAAGCUUGAGACAAAGGCCUUUUACAAGCUUGAGACAAAGGCUGCUUUUAAGCACUCUGGAAUGCAAAUGAGCUCUGGUCGCAGCUGAAACUCCAUGGGUAAUAAAAAUACCUUCAGGCCCUUUCUCAGUUAGUCUGAAAAUACUGUAGUUUCUCAACAGUAACGUCUGGAGGGCUAAGAUUUGGAUUCCUGCAUUCCUGUUUGGUCAAAAGCAGCUGACAUCACCAUGAUCCUGGUUGCCAUUAUUUAUUGAGUGCCCGUUAUGGGAAAAGGCAUUGCACCAGGCACUUUAGGAAUGUUCUUCUUAGGUGAACUUCAGAUUCACCCUGACGUAGUGUUCUGCCCUCUCCGAUUUAUGGGUGACACAGUUUAGGGUUAACAUGCUCCAGGUCUCUUGGCCUUGGUUCAAAUUGGGGUUUGAACAACUUUGUCCAGCCCCAGGCCCGUGUUCUUAAACACCCCAAUGUUGUGCCGCCCACCUGUUGAGGACUGGACUUUUUUUUCCUUUGCCAUAAGUUAUUUUAGACGUGAAAAACCUUUUGCAGUUGUGAUUCUAUUGAUAUCAGAUACAUGUCAUAUUUGUGGCCCAGCUUUAGGUCCCCUGUCUUCUCUUCAGAUUUAAUGCCUAGUGACUUCCACUUAGGACCGCUUCCUUAUUUUUGGUGCCUAGUAAUUGUAGAGAGUAACUGAAUUUUUUGAGUUUUAAUUCUGUUAGUCUUAUAAAAUAAUUUCUGGAUUGUCAGUAUGUUUGGGAGCCUUAAAUCCUUCUAGGAAGCUAUUGAGAAGAAAGAAAAUGAUAUUCAUAUAGAGCUCAGUGUACCAAAGACGUUAAUAUCAGCAUUGGUUUUGGUAGCGAAAAACCCGGCUAGUUGGGGAGUGACUUAAUAGAUUAUGAUAACUCUCUCUGUGUUACAUCGAAUAUCUGUAGAAUGUGAAAUAUGAAAAAUAAAAUUUAUGAACAGUUUUUAUUGAGAUAGAGUUCACAUACAUACCAUUCACCUAUAUAAAAUGUGCAAUUCAAUUUUUUAGUGUGUUCACCGAGUUGUGCAACUAUCACAAUUUUAGAAUGCUCAUUUUAACAUGCAUUUACCUUAACGUUGUCAGUUGCAGAACUGGUUCUUUUCCUUUCUUGUGCUUUCAGUGUGUUCUGUGUUUUCCAAAUUUUCUAUGAUGACAUGUAUCAACUUCACAAAUGGAAGGCAAUAAAUUUAAUUACAAACAAAAAUGAAGUCAGUCGCUGGGCAAGUAAUAUCCCUUUGUCCCUUUCCUCUUCCUCUUGAGAUUUGUAGAUAACUCACACUACUUUUAAAAAUGAGCUGAUUAAUAUUUUAGCUUCCCAUUUAAAAUGCCUUCUACCUUCCGUGUAAGAAGCUUGUGCCACACCUUCACCCUUUACCGAAGAACACAGUGCUCCAUGAUCGCUGUUUCCUUGACAUCAAAGAAAACAAAGGGUACAUCUCGAAUGCUGAUAGAAACAAAGCCCAAAGACCAGAAAAGAUGACUACGUGGGCCUCCCCCUCCUAGAUAGAGUAGCCCAGUACACGUGCAAGCAUGUGCCACGUGCAGAGCUUUCUGGUCAUUAUCUGCUUUGUUCCACUGACCACGGACUUCCCUUUGGUCUGAGUGCUCUCAGGAAGGAGAGCUGGGAGCAAGUCUGGAGGGUCCUUCCGUUGCUGUGAAAUAAAGGAUGGUAAACUGGAGCAGGCCUGGCGGGGUGGGGGGGGGAUUAGAAGGAGGGGCAGAACUGGGUGAGAUCUGGACUGGUCAUGAGGACCGGAAGCAGAUACGACUCCUUCUUCCCCUCAGCCGUAUCCUCUGUCACCUGGGCUGCAUGGCUUCUGUCCUCUUCGUGGGUCUCCUUGCUUCAUCCUUUGCAGAUUCUCUCUCUAGCUUCAUCUCUAGGCUAUCCGGAGCCUUUACUCUGACAGGAGUGUGCACCCCCAUCUGGUGGGAGUGUUAGCCCACUUCUAACACCGAGCAGUUCCCCCUCACCUCUCGGAGUGAGCCCCGUACACAGCCUCUUCUCCGCGCUUUCUCUGAGAAGGAGGCAGAAUCGAAUAUUCCUUGGUCUGUGUCUCAGAUACUUCAUGUAAGCCAUUUACAGCUCUUGUCACACUGUGUUGUAGUUAUUUAUGCACAGAUUUGUUUCUCCCACCAGAAUGUGAGUUCCUUGAGGGCAAGGAUUUUAUUUCAUUAAACUUCUUUAAUCUUAUUUACACAGCCCCUGAGACUGUGUGGAAGAGUAAAUAUUUAACGUAUAUUUAAAUGGUAGUCAUAUGUACGCAGAUCCCAGACCACACAAGGUGAGUGCAGAGAAGGGGGACACGUGGCUGGUGAGAUGAGGCAGCAGAGGGACAGUUCCAGAAUCUGGGCAGAAGCCAGAAAGGAGAACAGUCCCCUGGUGAGCUUUGAUCUGUUUUCACAAAAUGAAUUUAACUCACAUUCAGAAGUCGCCUUUGUUUUCAGUUCGAAGGGAUCUCAGUAUUUCUUGAGUAUGUUACCUAACCGAAUACAUGGUGGUUUUGUGUAUGCUCUGGCUGGAGGUAGACUGUGCAAUUACUUACCUUAAUUUAUGUCUAGUUAGAAACUGAAUAAAGCCGUGCAAAAGUAGUAAUAUUGCUUAAUUAACAAGAGGUUUCUGAGACUUAAAUCUGUAGGAGUCUCUCGGUCUAGAUUGGCCUUGGGUUAAAUAUAUACUGUGGAGUGUACAACACAGCUGUGAAUGGUUUACCAUAUGGGUCCAAAUAACUAGAAAGGAAAGUCAGCUAAAUUAGAAAAGGAUGAAUCCAGACUACAUAAAAUAGAUUGUAAUUAGAAACAGCACAACCCCAGAGUUAGUGUAAGUGCCAAUAGACUGGUACAGCUUUGGUCUCUCUCUCUCUCUCUAGAAGGGGAGGGAAAUGAGUUGCCCUAUUAUUACUGCCAGUUUUGAUUUUAGCAGUAUUUGUGUUCUCCGGAAGGGAUGCAAAAGCGAGUGAUUUCCCCCCCCCCUUCUCAUAAGCACAAGUAGAGAGAAGCAUAACUGCAGCAAGUUUUUGCACUUAUUUUUUUUCUUAUACUUUUAAAAUGGAACCAUGUUUUCCAGCACAGCCAAAAAUAUGAACGUCCCAUGCUGGUGGAAAGCAGGCCAGGACAUGUAUUUUUGGUUUCACCUGCACACCUGGAGGAAUAUUCAUUCAGCUGAGACAGCAGUUAGGAAUAUAUUCUCUUGAAGAUGCCAGGAGGCAGACUGGCUCUGAAAGGUGGCUUCUCUCCUAACUGGAAGGGUAGGAGGGGAGGGCCCAGACUCACAAGAACCCUUAAGACUCAGGGACAGUGUAAUUGUAAGAAAGGUCCCUGUGGCUCACACAGCCCAGGCCUUCUCAUCCUCCUGGACAGGAACAGGAGGAGGGGAGCCUUCUCUUCACUGAGGCCUUUCCCUUUGUGAUCAAGUUUACUUUUGACCGAGUUCUCGUCUUACAGCACUGCUGGGAACAAAGAGGGACCAGUGCUGAGUCACGGCCACCUUUACUCCAUGCACAGAUUCUCUAAUUUUCUUCAAAAUGAUCUUUGUCUGCAUGGGUAUAUAGAUGCCAAACCGGAGCAAAGAAGCCUAGAAAACGCGAGUGAGGGAGUCCCUGGUGCCUCUCUAAUGGUAGGCAUUAGCUUUUAUUGCCUGCCUCUCGGCUCCUUCUUCUUCUUUUUGUAAAAACUCAGAUUUCCCCUGAGGAAAUCUGACUCUCUCUGCCACCCAGGGACACUGGGUGUAGUAACCAGAUUCUUUUCUGGUGUCAGCAGUGCGAUGGCAGUGAAUAUUAACUUCUUCACUAUCAAUGGAGUUAAGGGUGGGAGUGCUGGUUCCCUGCAUCUGUUCAGGUUUUAAAAUUUUCUGUCUCAUGAGGCUAAUAGAGUAGCGGGGCACAAAAUGGGGCUUGCAUUUUGCAUGUCAGCCUUCAUUUACAAUUUGAUUUGGUUUGAAUUUUGGAUGCUGGCCUACUUUGUGUUUUCCUGCUGGUCCUAUGGAAUAUUUCAGAACUAUAAUUAUGCAUGGAAGGCAGACAGGGUUCUAGAUGAUUGAAGUAUACAACUGAGUUGCCAGAUAGAGGGCACUGAAAUCCCUUCUAAGGGACUCAACAGAGGUGAGAUCAGAGCCGAAUGGAAGUAGAAGAAAUUUGAUUUUGGGCCCAAAUGUUCUUAGGCACUUAGCUAAACCACACUUUGCAUGAGCCAGGACCACACCCGCUCUCUGCCUGUCUUGGGAGAGGUGCUGGGCUCCCCAGCCCCCCACCCCCACCCCAUGCAGUGUUUGUUUUCCCUCUCACCUCUCAGGCAGCUGCCACAGGUUAUCCUGAAACCGGACUAGAAUCUAAUGUGUGCUAAUGGCAAAAGUGUACCCCUAGCCCCCACUGCCCUCUAUUUUCAUUGACCCAAAACCAAAUACAAACAAGAGUGAGGCCUGCAACAGAGAAGCUGAGUGUGGAGAAGGUAGUAGACACCUUCUGGGUCAUUAACUCAGUCCGUCCUUUCUGCAUCCCCCUAAAUGUUCUCAUGAUCUGUUUUACAGAGUGAGAAACUGAGGCACAGAGAGGUAACUAAUGUGCCCAGACAGUUCAGUUCUGAGCCCCACAUAAUUUCUGAAGCAUGUGUCCCUGCCACUAAUCUGCAUGCCUCCCCUUUACAAAGUCUGUCCCCCAUGUGAAUGUCCAGCUCCUGGCAGGACCCUCUGGACACAGAGUGCUCACAGCUGCUGAGUGAUCCCAAGGAGUGACUGCAAGAGCAGGAAUUCCAGGCCAGGCAGCACAGUGGCUGAUGGUGGGAAGGAUACUUUGGAAAACUGUGUGUGUGUGUGUGUGUGCACGUGUGCUUCUCUGUUCCUGAAGUCACUUCGAGUAGACAGAUGGCUUGUUGGCAUAUUAGCCUUGUUGGGAGGGGCUGCCCCCGUCUCACCAUGUUAUUAAUGACUAUCCCUGGAAGAGAGUUACUAGCUCUUUCUGUUGAAAAAAACCUCAGUUGGGAUAUCUCUUCAGUGGCCAUGCACUGUUAGUGGGUGGCAAAUCAUUAUCUAUAGAUUAUUAAAUGUGCAUAUGUUUGUAUGUACUAAAUAGUAAGUAAGUCCAAUUCUAUAGAUGUAUGGACAUGUUACUGUCCCAAAUCCUUUUUAGGAACUAUUUGGAAGAGUGUGGUAUGAAGAAGUAUCAAAGUAUAAUUUCUAUAAUUUCAGACAGGUACCAACAUGACUCAUAGAGAUAUGGGAUGGGCCCACGUGAAACAUUUAUUUAACUCAAAGGAGAUAACACUAGUUCAAAGGGACAUUUGAAAGACUAGGUGUUAAUAGGCACUGAGGGAAGUGUUGGGAUAAGAUUGCUGGGCUGGACACAAGACCGUUAACGUCCUACAGGGCACUGAAGCCAUAACCUUUGGACCACAAUCUCCGAGUUAACGUGUAACCGCACAGAGCUCAUGCCCGACAGUAGUGAGUAGCGAGUCAGUGUGUCUUGGCAGACGUGAGUCAGCAUCCUGUUCAGAGUGGCCUCUUGGUUCCUUGCCAUGGACAAUAAAGACACAUUUUCCAUGGAAUGCCAGAUGUGGAGCUGACUUGGGGUUUCCACCCGCAGAGAGGAGGAGGAAACUCCAGGAGGCUGAUUUUAUGAUUUUGGAGUUGACCGUUACUUCAGACUGCAAGUGUUCUUUAUGUUUGAAAAAUACGGUAGAUGGUUUAAGGGCCCCAUGACCCCAGAGUUUUCUGCCUGAGCCCUGCUGUCAGCGGCGCCUCCCUGUGGUAUCACUUGGCAGAAGUGUUGCAAGUUUGUUCCGUGAUCUCCUCGGGUGUUCUUUCUUACCUGGAUUAUUUGGACAAAGGUAAGCAUUUCUUUCCCUGAAAUUGUAGUUGACCCUGCACCUCACAGGAGCAAUUGGUCGAAGUGACUUGAAAGUCUUCUCCCGAAGCAGCGUGCUGACUGCCUCGUGUUGCUUGGCAUUCAGAACGGUGACUGACCUUUCCGAGGCCCCAGCCUAAGAGUGCUGUUGGAAACAUUUUGGUAGGUAGCUGGUGAGAUUUGCUGGCCAUUUUCAUGAAAGGAAGGAAUGCUUAUGAAAUUUUCUGUGAUGUUUCCCAUCAGGAGCCAAAUAAAUUUGUGUCUUCAAUCCUUCCCAAUCUUGAACAUUUCAACUUCUAUCAGUUUUGAAAAGAAAUUAAAAAAAAAUCUGCCUGGAACACAGAAUUUGCUGUGUUCUCACCCACAUUCUGUAGGAUCCCCUGCCCGCAUCACUGUUUCCCAUCGUGAGCCUUUGCUUGUUACUUUGACUUUCCACACGAAGCGCAUGAGGAAUGGGAUGGGAAAAGGAAUAUUAUUCAGGUUUGUUGCUUUUUUCUCUAUGCUCUUGCCCUGCCCGCACAGUUCUUUUUAGCCCCCGGGCCCCUUCUGCCCGGCAGACACUUCCUUCUGCCGAACAAAAGAGACCUGAAUGUGUAAAUCCAAAGGGGCAGAGCCUCAUCUCCCGGGCAUGUGCACCUGUGUUAAAUUCAUUAAAUUUAAAGCUUUCCCGGUGUCCUGGCACUUGCUGUGCGCUGUUGACGAUGAUUGUGCUGACAUAGGUGGCUGAGCGCUCAGUCGUCAUCCUUCUAGCCUCAUCCUGGGCAGACGUGGUGAGUAACCGGAUGACCCUUGAAGCUUCAACCUGUACUGAGCUAUUUUCCACAGGAAUAAACAGCCUCACCAAUGAUGAUAGCAGGUUGAGAGGAAGCAGCAGUGUUCAGAAGAUAAGAUGUUAAAUCCCACUGGCAGAAAUGUGUAUUCUGGUGUUCCGACACAGGACAUGCUUUAAGUGGCUUUGACUAGGCAAUUGAUCCCGAGCUCCAUGAUUUCACCCCCCCAUAUCACCCCCGCCCCUUUCGAGUUCAAUUUGAAACU